UGGGGAAUAUUGCGCAAUGGGGGCAACCCUGACGCAGCAACGCCGCGUGAAGGAUGAAGGCUUUCGGGUCGUAAACUUCUGUCUUGAGGGACGAAACAAAUGACGGUACCUCAGGAGGAAGCCACGGCUAACUACGUGCCAGCAGCCGCGGUAAUACGUAGGUGGCGAGCGUUGUCCGGAAUUACUGGGUGUAAAGGGCGCGUAGACGGGCAAUUAAGUCAGAUGUGAAAUACCGAGGCUCAACCUCGGGGCUGCAUUUGAAACUAAUUAUCUUGAGUGCAGGAGAGGUAAGUGGAAUUCCUAGUGUAGCGGUGAAAUGCGUAGAUAUUAGGAGGAACACCAGUGGCGAAGGCGACUUACUGGACUGUAACUGACGUUGAGGCGCGAAAGCGUGGGGAGCAAACA
rnacentral:rRNA from 1 species